rnacentral:rRNA from 1 species
GAGCGAGAAAGGGUAGCAAUACCUGAGUAAAGCGGCGCACGGGUGAGUAACACGUGACUAACCUACCCUGGAGUGGGGAAUAACUGAGGGAAACCUUAGCUAAUACCGCAUAAUACCCACGGGUCAAAGGAGCAAUUCGCUCUGGGAGGGGGUCGCGGCCGAUUAGUUAGUUGGCGGGGUAAUGGCCCACCAAGACGAUGAUCGGUAUCCGGCCUGAGAGGGCGCACGGACACACUGGAACUGAAACACGGUCCAGACUCCUACGGGAGGCAGCAGUGGGGAAUUUUGCGCAAUGGGGGAAACCCUGACGCAGCAACGCCGCGUGGAGGAUGAAGUCCUUCGGGACGUAAACUCCUUUCGAUCGGGACGAUUAUGACGGUACCGGAAGAAGAAGCCCCGGCUAACUUCGUGCCAGCAGCCGCGGUAAUACGAGGGGGGCGAGCGUUGUUCGGAAUUAUUGGGCGUAAAGGGUGCGUAGGCGGUUUGGUAAGUCUUGUGUGAAAUCUACAGGCUCAACUUGUAGUCUGCACGAGAAACUGCCGGGCUUGAGUGUGGGAGAGGUGAGUGGAAUUUCCGGUGUAGCGGUGAAAUGCGUAGAUAUCGGAAGGAACACCUGUGGCGAAAGCGGCUCACUGGACCAUAACUGACGCUGAUGCACGAAAGCUAGGGGA